CAAGGAUGCUAGUACGGCGAGUGAGCGGCAAAAGCUCAAAUUUGAAAUCUAACACUUUCAGUGUUCGAGUUGUAAUUUGAAGAAAGUUUCUCUGAGUAGUCCUUUAUCUAUGUUCCUUGGAACAGGACGUCAUAGAGGGUGAGAAUCCCGUAUGAUUUUGGAUACUAUUCUUUGUGAGAUUCUUUCGAAGAGUCGAGUUGUUUGGGAAUGCAGCUCUAAGUGGGUGGUAAAUUCCAUCUAAAGCUAAAUAUUGGCGAGAGACCGAUAGCGAACAAGUACAGUGAUGGAAAGAUGAAAAGAACUCUGAAGAGAGAGUGAAAAAGUACGUGAAAUUGCUGAAAGGGAAGGGCUUUAGGUCAGACUUGGUGUUUAAUGAUUAUCUUCUCUUUUUGAGUUGUGCACUCGUUUUUCACUGGGCCAAUAUCAGUUUUUGUGGUAGAGCACCUAUUGGAAUGUAGCUUUUCUUCGGAUGAGUGUUAUAGCCUUUAGACGAUCUAUUUACGGAGACUGAGGACUGCGCGUUAUGCUAGGAUAUUGGCGUAAUGACCUUAAGCCGCCCGCUGAAAAACCGGGGACAA
rnacentral:rRNA from 1 species